AUUGAACGCUGGCGGCGUGGUUAAAGCAUGCAAGUCGAACGCACCCGCAAGGGUGAGUGGCGAAAGGGUCAGUAACAACAUCGAACGUACCCCGAGGUGUGGGAUAGGCAUGGGAAACUGUGCGUAAUACCACAUGAUCUCUCAGGAGCAAAGGUUUACCGCCUUGGGCUCGGCGAUGUUCCUAUCAGCUAGUUGGCGGGUAACG
rnacentral:rRNA from 1 species